rnacentral:rRNA from 1 species
AGAGUUUGAUCCUGGCUCAGGACGAACGCUGGCGGCGUGCUUAACACAUGCAAGUCGAGCGGAAAGGCCUCUUCGGAGGUACUCGAGUGGCGAACGGGUGAGUAACACGUGGGCAAUCUGCCCUGCACUUCGGGAUAAGCCUGGGAAACUGGGUCUAAUACCGGAUAGGACCUCAAGACGCAUGUCUUCUGGUGGAAAGCUUUUGCGGUGUGGGAUGGGCCCGCGGCCUAUCAGCUUGUUGGUGGGGUGACGGCCUACCAAGGCGACGACGGGUAGCCGGCCUGAGAGGGUGUCCGGCCACACUGGGACUGAGAUACGGCCCAGACUCCUACGGGAGGCAGCAGAAGGG